rnacentral:ncRNA from 2 species
UAUAUUGUGAAACAUGAUGGUUCUUUACUUUGAUUCAGUAAAGAGAAAAGGGAAGUCGGUGUAAAUCCGACGCGGUCCCGCCACUGUAUGUGUGAGUAAGUCGUAAUUUGUCACUAAAGUAUAACACUUUGGGAAGGCGCGGCAAGCUGUGAUCACGAGCCAGGAGACCUACCAACAUGGAGACCACCAA